UACAGAGGGGGCGAGCGUUGUUCGGAAUUACUGGGCGUAAAGGGCGCGUAGGCGGCCCGCUAAGUCGAACGUGAAAUCCCCAGGCUCAACCUGGGAACUGCGUCCGAUACUGGCAGGCUUGAAUCCGGGAGAGGGAUGUGGAAUUCCAGGUGUAGCGGUGAAAUGCGUAGAUAUCUGGAGGAAUACCGGUGGCGAAGGCGGCAUCCUGGACCGACAUUGACGCUGAACGGCGAAAGCUAGGGGAGCAAACGGG
rnacentral:rRNA from 1 species